UACGUAGGGGCAAGCGUUGUCCGGAUUUAUUGGGCGUAAAGAGCUCGUAGGUGGUUCGGUAAGUCGGAUGUGAAAUCUCCAGGCUCAACCUGGAGGGGUCAUUCGAUACUGCCGUGACUAGAGGUCGGUAGGGGAGUGUGGAAUUCCUGGUGGAGCGGUGAAAUGCGCAGAUAUCAGGAGGAACACCGAUGGCGAAGGCAGGUCUCUGGGCAUUAACUGACGCUGAGGAGCGAAAGCAUGGGGAGCGAACAGG
rnacentral:rRNA from 1 species